AGGUCUCCUGAAGGAACGUUGAAGACGACGACGUUGAUAGGCCGGGUGUGUAAGCGCAGCGAUGCGUUAAGCUAACCGGUACUAAUGAACCGUGAGGCUUAACCUUACAACGCCGAAG
rnacentral:rRNA from 1 species